rnacentral:rRNA from 1 species
CGGGUGAGGAAUACAUCGGAAUCUACUCUGUCGUGGGGGAUAACGUAGGGAAACUUACGCUAAUACCGCAUACGACCUACGGGUGAAAGCAGGGGACCUUCGGGCCUUGCGCUAUCAGAUGAGCCUAGGUCGGAUUAGCUAGUUGGUGAGGUAAUGGCUCACCAAGGCGACGAUCCGUAACUGGUCUGAGAGGAUGAUCAGUCACACUGGAACUGAGACACGGUCCAGACUCCUACGGGAGGCAGCAGCA